CCUACGGGAGGCAGCAGUGAGGAAUAUUUGUCAAUGGACGAGAGUCUGAACCAGCCAAGUAGCGUGAAGGAUGACUGCCCUAUGGGUUGUAAACUUCUUUUAUAUGGGAAUAAAAUGUUCCACGUGUGGGAUUUUGUAUGUACCCUAUGAAUAAGGAUCGGCUAACUCCGUGCCAGCAGCCGCGGUAAUACGGAGGAUCCGAGCGUUAUCCGGAUUUAUUGGGUUUAAAGGGAGCGUAGGUGGAUUGUUAAGUCAGUUGUGAAAGUUUGCGGCUCAACCGUAAAAUUGCAGUUGAAACUGGCAGUCGUGAGUACAGUAGAGGUGGGCGGAAUUCGUGGUGUAGCGGUGAAAUGCUUAGAUAUCACGAAGAACUCCGAUUGCGAAGGCAGCUCACUGGACUGCAACUGACACUGAGGCUCGAAAGUGUGGGUAUCAAACAGGAUUAGAUACCCCAGUAGUC
rnacentral:rRNA from 1 species